CGCGGCCUAUCAGCUUGUUGGUGGGGUAAUGGCCUACCAAGGCGGCGACGGGUAGCCGGCCUGAGAGGGUGUACGGCCACAUUGGGACUGAGAUACGGCCCAGACUCCUACGGGAGGCAGCAGUGGGGAAUAUUGCACAAUGGGCGCAAGCCUGAUGCAGCGACGCCGCGUGGGGGAUGAAGGCCUUCGGGUUGUAAACUCCUUUCGCUAGGGACGAAGCUUUGUUGUGACGGUACCUAGAUAAGAAGCGCCGGCUAACUACGUGCCAGCAGCCGCGGUAAUACGUAGGGUGCGAGCGUUGUCCGGAAUUACUGGGCGUAAAGGGCUCGUAGGUGGUUUGUCGCGUCGUCUGUGAAAUUCUGGGGCUUAACUCCGGGCGUGCAGGCGAUACGGGCAUAACUUGAGUGCUGUAGGGGUAACUGGAAUUCCUGGUGUAGCGGUGAAAUGCGCAGAUAUCAGGAGGAACACCGAUGGCGAAGGCAGGUUACUGGGCAGUUACUGACGCUGAGGAGCGAAAGCAUGGGUAGCGAACAGGAUUAGAUACCCUGGUAGUCCAUGCCGUAAACGGUGGGCGCUAGGUGUGAGGGUCUUUCUACGACUUUCGUGCCGUAGCUAACGCAUUAAGCGCCCCGCCUGGGGAGUACGG
rnacentral:rRNA from 1 species